rnacentral:rRNA from 1 species
GGCCAGACUCCUACGGGAGGCAGCAGUGGGGAAUAUUGGGCAAUGGGCGCAAGCCUGACCCAGCGACGCCGCGUGAGGGAAGACGGUCUUCGGAUUGUAAACCUCUUUCAGCAGGGAAGACAAAAGGACGGUACCUGCAGAAGAAGCCACGGCUAACUACGUGCCAGCAGCCGCGGUAAUACGUAGGUGGCAAGCGUUAUCCGGAAUUACUGGGUGUAAAGGGCGUGUAGCCGGGCUGACAAGUCAGAUGUGAAAUUCCGGGGCUCAACCCCGGACCUGCAUUUGAAACUGUUGGUCUUGAGUAUCGGAGAGGCAGGCGGAAUUCCUAGUGUAGCGGUGAAAUGCGUAGAUAUUAGGAGGAACACCAGUGGCGAAGGCGGCCUACUGGGCUUUAACUGACGCUGAGGCACGAAAGCGUGGGUAGCAAACAGGAUUAGAUACCCCGGUA